CAGUCGCCGCGGUAAUACGGAGGGUGCAAGCGUUAUCCGGAUUUAUUGGGUUUAAAGGGUCCGUAGGCGGACUUAUAAGUCAGUGGUGAAAGCCUGUCGCUUAACGAUAGAACUGCCAUUGAUACUGUAAGUCUUGAGUAUAUUUGAGGUAGCUGGAAUAAGUAGUGUAGCGGUGAAAUGCAUAGAUAUUACUUAGAACACCAAUUGCGAAGGCAGGUUACCAAGAUAUAACUGACGCUGAGGGACGAAAGCGUGGGUAGCGAACAGGAUUAGAUACCCCGGUAGUCCCUGUCUCUUAUAC
rnacentral:rRNA from 1 species